rnacentral:rRNA from 1 species
AUGGACCAAUCCAUCCCUUUUUCCCGUGCAUAUGCAUCGGACUCGGAUGACGAUGGUCCCGAUGAAGAAGUUGAUGAGGAGGGGUUCACACUGAAGGAGGCCCAAGCAUUCAAGAAGGUAUUCGGGUGGGAUCACAAGACACCAUUGUUCAAGGAUCUUAGUCUCGCGGAUGAAGCCAUUGUGGAUGGUGGCAAAUGCAUAUCUCUUGGAGCUAGGCCAAGUUCUCAC